AACCUAAAGAGGAGGGUGCAUUAGCCCAUGAGCUAUGUCCUGGGCUGGAGCCAGGGGCCCCAAGGAAACUGUAACCCGGCAGUCCUUCUAGAAUGUUCUGCCAAGUUUCAGAGGGUGAGUAAAACACCACCCUUGGCCUAGAGUUCAGAUCAAAGUUGGGAGUCACCAACUCUCCAGGAUUCAACAGAAAACAACUCUAGCGGGAGCACCUGGAGGGCGAACUCAGAACGAAAAUCCACAAGUUGUAAGAAAAUGGCAGACAAGCCUGACACGGGGAAAAUCGCCAGCUUCAAUAAGGCCAAGCUGAAGAAAACGGAGACGCUGGAGAAGAACACCCUGCCGACCAAAGAGAGCCUCGUGGGUGCCUCACCCACACUGUAUUUGUGGGUUGGGUGUGGGGGGCUGUAAGGUAGCUCCAUUCUCCAAUGACCACAUCCGGCCCUGCGCAGCUGUUGAACAGGAAAAGAGGAGUGAAAUCUCCUAAAAGCCUAAUAAGAUUUCCCCACCCCACCCCACCCCGUCAUCUCCAAGACCCCCUUGUGAUGUGGAGGAAGAGCCACCUGCAGGAUGGACGUGAGCCACAAGCUGCACUGUGAACCCCGGGCACUCCUAGCCGAUGCCACUGGCCUGUGGGUCUCUGAAGGGGACCCCUCCACUAAUCGGACUGCCAAAUUUCAUCGGUUUGCCCUGGGAUAUUAUAGAAGAUUAUUUGUAGGAUUGAUGAAAAUAAAACACACCUCGUGGCAAAAAAAAAAAAAAAAAAA